AGCACCUUGGCAGAGUGCAAGCUCAUCUGACGGCAUGCUGUUCGAACCUCCAAGCAUAGCUCCGGAUGCGCUUCAGGAUACUGUGAGCAGGGAAAUUAAAGGCUGUAGGAAGCAAGAGCCUCCAUUGAAGAAGCGCACUGGCGAGAAAGAGCACCGAGCUUCUGGUAGUGGCUCCAUGGGUGCCGGAAUAUGAAUUUGCCAUGGCAAGGCUCCCACUUGGCAAAAUUGCACUGCAGUUUUUGGGAACACACAUGCCAUUGGAUCAGAUUGUUAUACUUGUAUGUAUUUUUGGAUUCAGGAGCUUAAUUUGGUGCUCUGCAUAAAGUGCACGCAUGGUUUGCAAAGUGAGGUUGAGCUUAUUAUUACCAAAGAGUCCUCGGUGGCCUUGGAAUUGAGGACGCUCUUGUACACUUGGAGAAAGGGUUUAGCUUCCAAAUUCUCGAAUGUAGCGUUCUCUCUGAAGCAUUCAGAUUCGAUUCCUGCAUACGUAUGUGUACAGCUUUUAGUCCCAAAUUCUAGCAUGUUCCUUGCUUGGUCGACAGUAGAUUUCAUAAAUUAUAAUUGCUUUUCUCUGACUAAGACAUAGUACUCAACUUUGAAGGUCUAUAUGCUACUGUUUGUCA